rnacentral:rRNA from 1 species
CUGAGCGGCGGACGGGUGAGUAACGCGUGGGUAACCUGCCUCAUACAGGGGGAUAACAGUUGGAAACGACUGCUAAUACCGCAUAAGCGCACAGUACCGCAUGGUACGGUGUGAAAAACUCCGGUGGUACAAGAUGGACCCGCGUCUGAUUAGCUAGUUGGUAAGGUAACGGCUUACCAAGGCGACGAUCAGUAGCCGACCUGAGAGGGUGACCGGCCACAUUGGGACUGAGACACGGCCCAA